CGCUCGGGUCCCCUUCCACACUGUGGAAGCUUUGUUCUUUCGCUCUUUGCAGUAAAUCUUGCUACUGCUCACUCCUUGGGUCCACGCUGCUUUUAUGAGCUGUAACACUCACCGCGAAGAUCUGCAGCUUCACUCCUGAGCCCAGCAAGACCACGAGCCCACCGGGAGGAACGAACAACUCCAGACGCGCUGCCUUAAGAGCUGUAACACACACCGCGAGGGUCUGCAGCUUCACUCCUGAGCCAGCGAGACCACGAACCCACCAGAAGGAAGAAACUCCGAACACAUCUGAACAUCAGAAGGGACAGACUCCAGACGCGCCACCUUAAGAGCUGUAACACUCACUGUGAGGGUCCACGGCUUCAUUCUUGAAGUCAGUGAGACCAAGAACCCACCAAUUCCGGACACAUAACCAUGCCUAGGAAGGAAAGGAGUUGCUGUUUUGUAGAAGCGAUUGGGAUUUGGGAGAUUAGCUGGAUAUGAUCAGCAGGGAGAGCACGUGUGUUUUCAUGAGAAUUAUGCCAAGCUUCCCUUUGUGGCUAGAGUGAAGUAUACUGGUAUAAAGUGCUCUAAAAAUACAGAAACUGAGAGAAGAAGAAAUAUGAAAAAGAAAUGGAGAAAUGUGAGAGAGAAAACCAUUUACUGUGCGACAUUAGACUUCCUCGUGAUGAAGGAGGAGGAGAACAUUGGAUCUGAUAGGUGAUUCAAGUCUAAAAAUUGACUGAACUAAAAUUUAAAAGCCAAAAAAGGUGAAAGGUGAUGGAAUCUGUCUCAAGUAUGAAGAGUUCCUGUAACUUCAUAAGGAUGAAAGAUUUAACAGAGUACACUUAAGAGCAACAAGACAACUGUAAUCUUUUCACAUUUAUACCGCAGUGGACUGAGAUUCAACAAUCUGUUCCCUCUUAGAGAACCAUGAAGUAGCUGCUUCCAAGUAUAGAUGAAGAAGUGGACCUAAGUAUAACAAGAGGUGAACUGUGAUGGCCAUGUAGGUGUGCUGCUGUAAUUUCCAUCAAGAGAACGGCUAGAAGAACAUAGUGGACUGACAGCUUCUAUCAGCUCCUGUCCGUUUGGAUCUGCUAUCAUGUUUAUGCUAAUACUUGCUCUUCUCACUGUCCAUCAAUGACUGAGAACAGUAGAUGGUUCAUGCCUGUAAUCCCAGCACUUUGGGAGGCUAAAGCAGGAGGAUCACUCAAGCCCAGGUGUUCCAGACCAGCCUGGGCAACAUAGUGAGACCGUAUCUCUACAAAAAGUAUGAAAAUUACUCUGGUGUGGUGGUGCACACCUGUAGUACCAGCUACUCAGGAGUCUGAGGCAGGAGAAUAAAUGGAGCCCAAGAGGUUGAGGCUACAGUGAGCCAUGGUCCUGCCAUUGCACUCCUGCCUGGGUGACAGAGCCAGAUGCUGAAGAAGAAAAGAAAAGAAAAGAAAAGAAAAGAAAAGAAAAGAAAAGAAAAGAAAAGAAAAGAAAAGAAAAGAAAGAAAAGGGAAGGGAAGGGAAGGGAAGGGAAGGGAAGGGAAGGGAAGGGAAGGGAAGGGAAAGGAAGGGGAAGGGGAAGGGGAGGAAAGGGAAAGAAAGGAAAGGAAAGGAAAGGAAAGACAAGACAAGACAAGACAAGACAAGACAGACAGACAGACAAGACAGGGAAGGGAAGGGAAGGCUGGGCAGGGCAAGGCCUUGUUUGCAUAUUUGUUUUUAAUAGAGCAAAUAUAUGAAAAUGUUAAAACAUAAGACUGGUAAAUGUGUUCUCUAUUCAGAUUUUAGCAUUAGGAUGGUACAACUGGACACAAGAAAGAGGAAAUAUCUUUUCAGAAUUAAAACUAAAGAAUGCAUAAUGUUUAGCAAAAUUAAACUAUAAAAAUUAAGUUUUAGGUAUCUCUCUACUAUGUUUAGCACAAAUGACCCUUAUUUUCAGCAAGUACUUUCUUAGAAUAAAAUAAUGAUUUUUUUUGAAUGUUCACUGAAGUUGAAUAGUCCAGUGUCUUAUGACGUACCCCCGCAUACAUCUCUCAUUCCAUCCAAUGUGCACACACACACACACACACACACACAAACAUCUGUGUUAGAAGAUAAUACUUAAACACAAUUUUUAAAAACUCAUCUAUCAAAAUGUUGAGAUAUUAAACAGAUUAUCAUUUCUGUUAUUAUAAACUAAUUAUACAUGCCUAAGUCAUGAUUCUUGGCCAUCAAGUUCAAGUUGAAUAUGCUGAUCAAUUUGCAAGCACAUUGGGAAGUGAAGAGCAUUCUAUCUUCUUUUUAAUGUUGUCCUUGGAUUAUAACUUUAGUUACCUAGUACGGGUGUUUUAAAAAGUAGAAGUGAUUAAGAAACAUCACUUCCAACCAAGAUAUAUGGGGACCUAAUAUCUUCUGCUGAAAUUCUGUAGUCUGGGGGUAUUGUCAGAUAUAUACAAAAUGAAGAUUGAAAAUUUAUCUAUGAACCCUGCCAAGUUUUUCAAUAAAUACAUAAAGUAAUUUAAAGUUGCAGAAGUAGUUAUUUGUGUGCUAGCCUUAUUGUGUGGUAGAACUCCAAAAAUCUCGAAAAUAUUUCAUUGAGUUAAACUUUAGAUUGGAUUUAGAAGUGUAUCUCUGAAUUAGACAAUUCCAAAGCCACAAAAAUAAUCUAUUUAUCUUAGAGUAGAUAAUACACUUUCCUGAUCUCUGCCUUAGAGAAAAAAAAGAAAAGAAAAGAAAUGUGUUUCAGAUAGGUAGGCCAUAGAAUUAGGAGUUAGGAAAUGUUAACAUAUAAUAUGCCUAUAUUACGAAAUUUUUAAAGACAAAAAUGGCAAUUUGGUAUAUAUCUAAUUUCUUCUAAUAAUGACACUCUUUAUUUAUGUUUCUUCAUUUGAAAUAUUUCUUUCAAAUGCCUUUUCUCUUUUAGACAUUAGGUAAGGCAUUGGUAAUAAAUUGCUUUAGUAUGAUGAGUAUUCCCAAAAGUAAGCAAUGGUAAUUUAUUAAAAUGAACAGCACAAAGAAAAUGCAUAUGGGAUGUAUGGGAGUCCACAGGAAAGGCAUGUUGAUUGGCCUGGAAGGUGGAGGGAAGCUUUGGAUGAAAUAACAUAAAAUAAUUCAUAACAAAUAUACUACUCUGUAAAAGAAAAGCAGGUGACCCAUGGAAAGAAAAAAUAAACAUUAAAAGGUCACUGGAAUUGAAAAACUGAAGUAACAAAUACAGUCAUGUGUGACUAUACAGAUUAUGCUUGUAUGGAGGGAUGCAGUGUUUGAGCAGGUGAAAUAAAAAAGAAGACAAAACAGAUGUACAGAGGCUCCAUUUCUUCAUAUGCUAUGAUUUUUAAUUUAAAAAAAUUACUUUAAAUUUAUGUUUACUAAUAUUUAUCUUUUUGGGUGUACAGUUCUAUGAAAUUUGACAAAUGCACAGUCUUAUAACCCCUACAACAAGCAAGAUAUAGAACAGUUUGAUCACCUUCCAAAAUUUUCUCAUGCUGUUUUUUUGGAGUCAGUCCUGCCCCCAACCUUCAAACUCUUGCAAACUGGUAAUCAUUAUAAUUUUGCUUUUUCCAGAAUGUCAUUUAAUUGGUAAUAAAGAUAAUUCUGCCUUUUGGAUCUGGCUUCUGUCAUUCAGCAUAAUGCAAUUGAGAUUCAUUUACAUUUGCUUUCGUAUGAGCAGUUAAUUACAUUUUACUGUUGAGUAGUAUUUCAUUGUAUGGUUAUAGUACAAUGUGUUCAUCCAUUUACCAAUUAAAGUGCAUCUAGAUUAUUUCCAUUGUGGAGCAAUUAUGAAGAAAGUUGCUAUAAACAUUCCUGUAUGGGUUUUUGUAUGACUACUUUAUUUCUUUUGGGUAAAUACAUAGGAGUGAGAUUGCUGGGUAAUAAUAGUAAACGUAUGUUUAUAAGAAACUGCCCAGCUGUUUUUUUUAAGUUGAGCCAUUUGCAUGCCUGCACACAAUGAAUGAGAACUCCAGGUACUCUGUACCCUUACUAUUACCUGUUAUUGUCAGGUUUUUUUUUUUUUUUUUAUGUUAGCCAUUCUAAUGGAUGUAUAUUGAUAUCUACUUAGGAUUUCAAUUUGCAUUUCCUUAAUGACUAAGGACAUUGAAUGUAUUUUCAGGUGCUAUUUGCCAUCUUUAU
rnacentral:lncRNA from 1 species